rnacentral:tRNA from 1 species
AAUACUAAGCCGGAAUUUAACGGGUAACAUUGAUGUUGUUAAUUAUGAGUUGUCUCUAGUAUUU